rnacentral:rRNA from 1 species
GACGAACGCUGGCGGCGUGCUUAACACAUGCAAGUCGAACGGAAAGGCCCUGUUUGUGGUACUUGCGCGGGGGACGAGCGAGUAACACGCAAGUAACUUGCCUUCGACUUCGGGAUAACUUCCUUCAACUGGGUCUAAUACCGACCAGGAAUCAUCGCCGCAUGCAUGGGGGGGGAAAGAUAUGGUGGGUUUGGAGGGACUCGCGGCUUACCAGUUUGGUGGUGGGGGAGGUGCUUACCAACGCAUUGUCGGGCAGGCGGCCUGGCUGGGCGAACGGCCACAAUGGGACUGGGAUAAGGGCCAGGCUCCUACGGGGAGGCAGAGGGGGGGAUAAUGCACAAUGGGCGGGAGCCUGGUGCAGCAACGCCGCGGGCGGGAUGACGGGCUUCGGGUUGUAAACCGGUUUCAGCAGGGGCGGAGCUGGUGGUGACGGUACCUGCAGAAGAAGCACCGGCUAACUACGUG